AACGAACGCUGGCGGCGUGUUUAAGACAUGCAAGUCGCACGGUGUCAUUUUGGUAGCAAUACUUGGAUGGCACAGUGGCGCACGGGUGAGUAACACGUGAAUGACAUGCCCUUCAGAGGGGGAUAGCCCAGGGAAACUUGGAUUAAUACCCCAUGGUCUCGCAAGAGUAAAGGUGGCCGCAAGGCUGUCGCUGGAGGAUCGGUUCGCGUUCUAUCAGCUUGUUGGCGGGGUAACGGCCCACCAAGGCUACGACGGAUACCUGGUCUGAGAGGACGAUCAGGCACACUGGAACUGAGACACGGUCCAGACACCUACGGGUGGCAGCAGUCGAGAAUAAUUCACAAUGGGGGCAACCCUGAUGGUGCAACGCCGCGUGGAGGAUGAAGGUCUUCGGAUUGUAAACUCCUGUCAUCCGGGAGCAAGACCUGACGGUGAAUAGCCGGCAGGGUUGAUAGUACCGGAAGAGGAAGGGACGGCUAACUUCGUGCCAGCAGCCGCAGUAAAAC
rnacentral:rRNA from 1 species